GACGAACGCUGGCGGCGUGCUUAACACAUGCAAGUCGAACGGAAAGGCCCUGCUUUUGUGGGGUGCUCGAGUGGCGAACGGGUGAGCAACACGUGAGUAACCUGCCCUUGACUUUGGGAUAACUUCAGGAAACUGGGGCUAAUACCGGAUAGGAGCUCCUGCCGCAUGGUGGGGGUUGGAAAGUUUCGGCGGUUGGGGAUGGACUCGCGGCUUAUCAGCUUGUUGGUGGGGUAGUGGCUUACCAAGGCUUUGACGGGUAGCCGGCCUGAGAGGGUGACCGGCCACAUUGGGACUGAGAUACGGCCCAGACUCCUACGGGAGGCAGCAGUGGGGAAUAUUGCACAAUGGGCGGAAGCCUGAUGCAGCAACGCCGCGUGCGGGAUGACGGCCUUCGGGUUGUAAACCGCUUUCGCCUGUGACGAAGCGUGAGUGACGGUAAUGGGUAAAGAAGCACCGGCUAACUACGUGCCAGCAGCCGCGGUGAUACGUAGGGUGCGAGCGUUGUCCGGAUUUAUUGGGCGUAAAGGGCUCGUAGGUGGUCGAUCGCGUCGGAAGUGUAAUCUUGGGGCUUAACCCUGAGCGUGCUUUCGAUACGGGUUGACUUGAGGAAGGUAGGGGAGAAUGGAAUUCCUGGUGGAGCGGUGGAAUGCGCAGAUAUCAGGAGGAACACCAGUGGCGAAGGCGGUUCUCUGGGCCUUUCCUGACGCUGAGGAGCGAAAGCGUGGGGAGCGAACAGGCUUAGAUACCCUGGUAGUCCACGCUGUAAACGGUGGGUACUAGGUGUGGGGUCCAUUCCACGGGUUCCGUGCCGUAGCUAACGCUUUAAGUACCCCGCCUGGGGAGUACGGCCGCAAGGCUAAAACUCAAAGGAAUUGACGGGGCCCCGCACAAGCGGCGGAGCAUGCGGAUUAAUUCGAUGCAACGCGUAGAACCUUACCUGGGUUUGACAUGGAUCGGGAGCGCUCAGAGAUGGGUGUGCCUCUUUUGGGGUCGGUUCACAGGUGGUGCAUGGCUGUCGUCAGCUCGUGUCGUGAGAUGUUGGGUUAAGUCCCGCAACGAGCGCAACCCUUGUUCACUGUUGCCAGCACGUUAUGGUGGGGACUCAGUGGAGACCGCCGGGGUCAACUCGGAGGAAGGUGGGGAUGACGUCAAGUCAUCAUGCCCCUUAUGUCCAGGGCUUCACGCAUGCUACAAUGGCUGGUACAGAGAGUGGCGAGCCUGUGAGGGUGAGCGAAUCUCGGAAAGCCGGUCUCAGUUCGGAUUGGGGUCUGCAACUCGACCUCAUGAAGUCGGAGUCGCUAGUAAUCGCAGAUCAGCAACGCUGCGGUGAAUACGUUCCCGGGGCU
rnacentral:rRNA from 1 species